GGGGGCCUGGAUCAGGCAUGGGGAGCCAGAAUUAAUCAGGCCCCGGCUUACCUGAUACAGAGGAGGCAUUCUGGAGUCCCAGUGCCCAGGAAAGAAGACGGGAGGCAGUAGCAGAGCCUGGGAGAGAUGGCCUGAGGAUGUUGUGAUGGAAGACUGUAUAUGAUCAUAUGCACUGCUGUCCAGGCUGCAGAGCCAUGUGGGGGCAAG
rnacentral:lncRNA from 1 species